rnacentral:tRNA from 1 species
GGAUGGGUGCUAGAGUGGUCUAAUAGAACAGUCUUGAAAACUGUCGCCCGCGCAAGUGGGCCGUGAGUUCGAAUCUCACCCCAUCCG